AAAAGAUGGUUCUGCUAUCACUCUUGGAUGGACCUGCGGUGCAUUAGCUAGUUGGCAAGGUAACGGCUUACCAAGGCAAUGAUGCAUAGCCGAGUUGAGAGACUGAUCGGCCACAUUGGGACUGAGACACGGCCCAAACUCCUACGGGAGGCAGCAGUAGGGAAUCUUCCACAAUGGACGCAAGUCUGAUGGAGCAACGCCGCGUGAGUGAAGAAGGGUUUCGGCUCGUAAAGCUCUGUUGGUAGUGAAGAAAGAUAGAGGUAGUAACUGGCCUUUAUUUGACGGUAAUUACCUAGAAAGUCACGGCUAACUACGUGCCAGCAGCCGCGGUAAUACGUAGGUGGCAAGCGUUGUCCGGAUUUAUUGGGCGUAAAGCGAGUGCAGGCGGUUCAAUAAGUCUGAUGUGAAAGCCUUCGGCUCAACCGGAGAAUUGCAUCAGGAACUGUUGAACUUGAGUGCAGAAGAGGAGAGUGGAACUCCAUGUGUAGCGGUGGAAUGCGUAGAUAUAUGGAAGAACACCAGUGGCGAAGGCGGCUCUCUGGUCUGCAACUGACGCUGAGGCUCGAAAGCAUGGGUAGCGAACAGGAUUAGAUACCCUGGUAGUCCAUGCCGU
rnacentral:rRNA from 1 species